AGUGAACGCUGGCGGUAGGCCUAACACAUGCAAGUCGAACGGCAGCACAGUAAGAGCUUGCUCUUACGGGUGGCGAGUGGCGGACGGGUGAGGAAUACAUCGGAAUCUACUUUUUCGUGGGGGAUAACGUAGGGAAACUUACGCUAAUACCGCAUACGACCUACGGGUGAAAGCAGGGGAUCUUCGGACCUUGCGCGAUUGAAUGAGCCGAUGUCGGAUUAGCUAGUUGGCGGGGUAAAGGCCCACCAAGGCGACGAUCCGUAGCUGGUCUGAGAGGAUGAUCAGCCACACGGGAACUGAGACACGGUCCAGAGUCCUACGGGAGGCAGCAGUGGGGAAUAUUGGACAAUGGGCGCAAGCCUGAUCCAGCCAUACCGCGUGGGUGAAGAAGGCCUUCGGGUUGUAAAGCCCUUUUGUUGGGAAAGAAAAGCAGCAGGUUAAUACCCCGCUGUUCUGACGGUACCCAAAGAAUAAGCACCGGCUAACUUCGUG
rnacentral:rRNA from 1 species